GCUUGCACUGGGUGGAUGAGUGGCGAACGGGUGAGUAAUACGUGAGUAACCUGCCCUUGACUCUGGGAUAAGCCUGGGAAACUGGGUCUAAUACUGGAUACGACAUGUCACCGCAUGGUGGUGUGUGGAAAGGGUUUUACUGGUUUUGGAUGGGCUCACGGCCUAUCAGCUUGUUGGUGGGGUAAUGGCUCACCAAGGCGACGACGGGUAGCCGGCCUGAGAGGGUGACCGGCCACACUGGGACUGAGACACGGCCCAGACUCCUACGGGAGGCAGCAGUGGGGAAUAUUGCACAAUGGGCGAAAGCCUGAUGCAGCGACGCCGCGUGAGGGAUGACGGCCUUCGGGUUGUAAACCUCUUUCAGCACGGAAGAAGCGAAAGUGACGGUACGUGCAGAAGAAGCGCCGGCUAACUACGUGCCAGCAGCCGCGGUAAUACGUAGGGCGCAAGCGUUGUCCGGAAUUAUUGGGCGUAAAGAGCUCGUAGGCGGUUUGUCGCGUCUGCUGUGAAAGCCCGGGGCUUAACCCCGGGUGUGCAGUGGGUACGGGCAGACUUGAGUGCAGUAGGGGAGACUGGAAUUCCUGGUGUAGCGGUGAAAUGCGCAGAUAUCAGGAGGAACACCGAUGGCGAAGGCAGGUCUCUGGGCUGUUACUGACGCUGAGGAGCGAAAGCAUGGGGAGCGAACAGGAUUAGAUACCCUGGUAGUCCAUGCCGUAAACGUUGGGCACUAGGUGUGGGGAACAUUCCACGUUUUCCGCGCCGUAGCUAACGCAUUAAGUGCCCCGCCUGGGGAGUACGGCCGCAAGGCUAAAACUCAAAGGAAUUGACGG
rnacentral:rRNA from 1 species